rnacentral:rRNA from 1 species
UACAGAGGUCUCAAGCGUUGUCCGGAAUCACUGGGCGUAAAGGGCGCGUAGGCGGCUUGAUAAGGUUGCGGUGAAAGCCCGGGGCUCAACCUCGGGUCGGCCGUGGCAACUGUCGAGCUGGAGCACUGUAGAGGCAGGUGGAAUUCCGGGUGUAGCGGUGGAAUGCGUAGAGAUCCGGAAGAACACCGGUGGCGAAGGCGGCCUGCUGGGCAGUGGCUGACGCUGAGGCGCGACAGCGUGGGGAGCAAACAGG